UGUUCCUGUUCCAGUGUUUAGUGUUCACGUUACGGGACUGUUUCGUCUUCGUUCCUUUUGUCGGUUUGUUGUUUUUGUUCGGUGUUUAAGUAUUCCCAUUAAAUAUGGAUUAUCAUCACGCUGCAUCUUGGUCCUCUUCUCUUUCACCCGAAGACAAUCGUUACAGGAUGUGGCCGUGGAGAGAAACGGAGAGAGAAACGAAGAGGAACGUCACACCAGGCGUCAUCAGAGGUACCAGCCCCCAGAUCCACUCAGCUCAAUUCAGCAGAGGCUCCUCCAAGCCGUCGACAGGGAUGCAGCCCAACCUGAUGCUCACAGGAAGGAGGAUGAAGAGACCCUCUUUGCCAUGAGCCUGGUGCCAACACUGAAGAGGCUGCCUCAGCAAAGAAAAACAGCAGCCAAGGUUAAAAUAUAUCAGCUGCUUUUCGAAGCCGAGUUCAAGGAAAUGGAGUCAAUUUAGCCGACCCGCUCACAGGAAGGACAGGAAGAGGAGAGGAGUUGUCUGGUUGUUGUUUUGACCUCCCUCAUUGUACCUUUCUUUUCACAUACGUCAGUUCUGUUUCAAUUCAGUCAAUUCAUAAAGUCAUUUGUUUAUAAAGUCUUAGGAUAGCAUUCAUUAUUAGUGUUACAUAUAUUUCUGAAUUGACAGAAUUGAAACUCAUACACUGGAGAAUUCAGAUGCUCUUGUUGGUCUCUUACGAGACUAAAGGUCAAUCAAUAUACACUGCUCAAAAAAAUAAAGGGAACACUAAAAUAA